UAAGGAAUUUNGCGCAAUGGACGAAAGUCUGACGCAGCAACGCCGCGUGAAGGAUGACUGCCUUCGGGUUGUAAACUUCUGUUGGAUGGGAAAAAAAGCCACGUAAGUGGAAUUGAUGGUACCAUUCGAGUAAGCACCGGCUAACUACGUG
rnacentral:rRNA from 1 species